rnacentral:miRNA from 1 species
UGAUAUGUUUGGUAUAUAAGGUUG